rnacentral:rRNA from 1 species
AUGUUGUCGAUGAAGCUAUCCGGUGAGAGCCUUACUGCUUUUCCCGGGAAGACGGGAGGGCGCCUAGGUGUGGAUUUGGCAGAGAUGGAAUGUUUCAAGGCGAGGGCGAUGCAGAUCAUUCGCAAGUCGAGGGAUCCGUCAAGAUGUCUCGAGUUGAUGCGAAUUAAGGCGGGUUCAUUACUGGAUUCUGGUGGGUCUUCGGAACGAGGGAUGUGCUCGUCGCGGGAAAUUCCUCUUCCCCUGCAGGUUGGCACGACGACACUUGUGCUGAAUGGAGCUCAGCUAGCUGCUCCUGAGAUUGAUAUUACUGGGCGAUGUCAUGGAAAUAAGCCUCUGGCUGGGUCUGAUUCUAAAGCAGCAGAGGUGCAAGUGGAUUUGGGGAUGAAUGAUGCUGCAGUUGGCGUUGGUUCAGAGGGGCAGUGCCUUCUUCAACUGUGUGCUAAUGCUGACCUGGGAAUUCAACAAUUUAUGUUUUGCAAUACAAAAGAACUGGAUUGGAUAUGUGCGUGCAUGUUUUCGGAUACAAACAUAUCCAGUUAUCGCUUUGUUCAUGGAGUCCCGGUGGAAGAGGAGCCAGAUCCAGGAGGAUUUUGGUUGUCUGUUAAACAUACAGUUAAAGUGCAGUUUCAGAGUUUGUUAACAAGUACAUGGAGUUCCAGCGGAAUACAAAAUGGGGUUUCUUGA